CCCCCCAACUCAAGCAUGCAUUUAAUGAUGCUUGGAUAUCUUUGGAGAGGUAUCACUUUUUAAUUGAGAGAAGCCCUCCAGAAAUUCAUAGGCAGUAUGGUUUGCACUAGAACCAGACGUAAUAAUAAUAAAAUCGUUUGUUGUAGUAUAGUCAUUGUACUUGCCUUGAAAACACCCAUUGAUUUUCGG
rnacentral:misc_RNA from 1 species